rnacentral:rRNA from 1 species
AUACGGAGGGUGCAAGCGUUACUCGGAAUCACUGGGCGUAAAGCGCGCGCAGGCGGCUAUUUAAGUUGGAUGUGAAAGCCUACGGCUCAACCGUAGAACUGCAUCCAAAACUAUUUAGCUAGAGUGUGGGAGAGGAAGAUGGAAUUAGUUGUGUAGGGGUAAAAUCCGUAGAGAUAGCUAGGAAUACCAAAAGCGAAGGCAAUCUUCUGGAACACUACUGACGCUGAGGCGCGAAAGCGUGGGGAGCAAACGGGAUUAGAUACCCUAGUAGUCC